UUGAUUAGGUGUUUUUGCAUAUUAAUUUUUCGUGUUAGUGGGGAGAUUUUAAACUCAGUCAAUG
rnacentral:tRNA from 1 species